rnacentral:lncRNA from 1 species
UUAUAUAUUAGUUAGGGGUUUAUGGAUUGGGCCAGACCAAUCUUUAAAUAAAAUAACAAAUGGAGUCAUGGAUUGACAUAAUUAUAAAUAGACUAUAAAUACGUACACAAUUUGUCUGAAAGUUUAAGAUUCGAGUUUCAGUGUAUGUACUUUAAUUUCUAUUUACUUAUAUAUCACUUAUCUUAAAUUGUUGUUUUACGUAAUUCUAACAUACUCUUUUCAAACAUGUGUGCGUCAUUAAGAGCAAGGUUUAAAAACCGGUUAACCGGUAACCGGUUCUGGCUGACCGGGUUUCCGGUUAGGCCGGUUAACCAGUGGUUAACCGGUGGAGGUAUUUUCGUAAUUUUUUCUUCUUCAUAAAUUCACUAAGGCCAAAAAUAUAUUUUUAUGCCAAAAAUUUAUACAUUGGUCCAUGAAAAGAACUGUAUUAUUUUAAUAAAAGUUCCUCCCACUCUUAAGAAUUCA